rnacentral:lncRNA from 1 species
UCCCAGCAGAUACUCAUUUGGAACAUUCCAAAACAGCUUCCAUGGAAGCUGGAUUCCCACAUCUAAAUCUCCUUACCUUCAAUUCUUUCUCACAAUGAGGAGUCAAAAGAGUUAUGGGAAACCCUAAACUAAGGAACCUGCCAUCUCCUUUGUCAUCAGGGCUUCUGGUCUGCAUCCUUCCACUGAGAGACAACUAAGCUCUAGACAAUUGAAAGGCACAGAUUUCAGCCUUGGUCUCUGCAUGUGUGCAUCUGACAAAAUAUUAAACUAUUAGAGACUUUACUGCAUUUUUAAAUAAUAUUAUCUAUGGUACUAUUAAUCAUUCCAUGGUUCUUUCUAGAAGAACUGGGUUUUUCUGGAUGCAGAAUAGCAUAAGAAAACCAUUAAAAGACAGGUAGUUUCUCAUAGAUAGGCUAAGAACAUUAGCUAAUGUAAUGAUUGAAUGUGUGGGAUGCCACAGUGGUGUGGCCGGGUUAGCUAUCAUUUUUAUAUGACAAGAGGGUGGUUAUGGAAUGAAACCUUGUAUUUUUCUACUGUCAAACAUACGUUGAAGUCUACAGUAGCAUUGUUACAAGCUUCUCAUUGCCCAAUGAAAAUAGAAUUGUAGAUUAGCGUAUGGCUAGCCUAGUAAGAAAUGCCAUGUUAGGACUCUAUCUAAUAUAAACGUGGUCAUGAAGCUGACCUUGGAAUGACAUAUCACCUUCGUGUCCAUGCUUCUUCUCGCCCACUUCUUGGAACCCCAGAUAGUCCCACUGAUGCUUCUAAUCAAGGUAUAUCAGUGAGAUAGAGUGGAUUCUUUAAUUGGAUGAAAAAAUUCUAACAAAUGUUUAUGGUAUUAGCAUAGUUAAACUCCUUGGAAUUUAAGCAACCUGUGUAAAGUUAUAUUUAAGAAUGUGUGCUUUUAUGUUUGUGCCACUGUUCAUCUGAGAUGGUCCCUGAGCCGUGAGGCAGGAUUGUGACACAUGCAUUCCAUUUGUGUCUGAGCUCUUUGCUGUAACUCAAUGUCUGCACUUUGAUCUCUUGAAAGUUUUCGCAUUAACCACUGUCCUUAGCACAGAGCAGUUUCUCUGAUGAGGUCUGAGAGGUGCACUAAUACAGGUUCAGUCCUGGUGCAAACCCUGUGUCCCCCAGCAGAUGCUGGGAGAUGUCACUGGUGUUAGGUUUUAGUGGUCUUAAAAGCUGAAGAAAGCUGACAUCUUCACUGGAAGAUUGUUAAUAUAGUAUUUUGUGGGGGCCUGUUAGGUAUGACCCACCCAGGGAAGAUGAACUGCAAAUUCUGUGAGAUUCAGAGCAAAAGGAGAGAAUAUAUAAAACCUGAAAGCAUAUAUAUUCUUAUCUAUUGAUUAUAUAUAUAUGGUACAUGUAAUAAUACAUGUAUAAAUAUUGAAAGUCAUUAACUUCCCUCAGUAUGCUGUCUCUUAACUUAAACUCAAAUUCUGGAGAUUACUGUGAGUGUUCUCGGAUGAACAUGAAGGAAGGAGCAGGACCCCUCCAGGGACCCCUCAUCUUCAGGUCUAUUAUAUACGGCAGACUUCAGCUACAUGAACACAUGUGGAAGGCAAAUCCAGAGACAUCAGGAAAACACAGAGUCACAUGACUGCUCAGGACUCACUGUGAACUCACCUCCCACAGGCCCGGUGAUGAUCUCGGCAUCUUUAUUAGUCACCCCUUCCCCUCCUUCCUCUAUACCUUGAACAUUUACCAAAACUGACCAGAACCUACGUAAAACUGGAGUGUUUUACGGCAUUUGGGAAGAACCGAGGUGCGUCAGUUCAAGAACAAUGCAACUUCUUGCCUGUUCUGCAGGAUUUAUUUUUCUUUGCCCAGAGUGUGCUUAUUCUUGGCUUAAUAUCCAUUUCUUUCAAGGUCCUUUUCAUGAGACCUUGCAGGUUACCCAUAAAGCUGUAAGGCCUCUGAGACAGUUCAUUCACCUUACGUACAUAGUUCGAGGAACUGCUUAUUUAAAUUUAGAUUCCAUCUCUGAUGAAGUGUUUUGACAAAGUAAUACCAGCUUGAUGCUAUUUAAAAUAUUUUGACAGAUGGGAAAAUUGUUUCAGUCUGACUUGAGCAGUACUUUAUUGCAGUAUUUUGCAACUUAGG